GACGGAGGAUGCAAGUGUUAUCCGGAAUCACUGGGCGUAAAGCGUCUGUAGGUUGUUUAAAAAGUCUGCAGUUAAAGGUUGAAGCUUAACUUCAAAAAUGCCGUAGAAACUUUUAAACUAAGAGGAUGGUAGGGGUAGAGGGAAUUUCCAGUGGAGCGGUGAAAUGUGUAGAUAUUGGAAAAGACCACCGAUGGCGAAGGCACUCUACUGGGCCAUGACUGACACUGAGAGACGAAAGCUAGGGGAGCAAAUGGG
rnacentral:rRNA from 1 species